GGAAUAUUGCGCAAUGGGGGAAACCCUGACGCAGCGACGCCGCGUGGGUGAUGAAGGCCUUCGGGUCGUAAAGCCCUGUCGUAGGGGAAGAACUGGCAGGCGGCCAAUACCCGCCAGCCUUGCCGGUACCCUACAAGAAAGCACCGGCUAACUCCGUGCCAGCAGCCGCGGGAAUACGGAGGGUGCAAGCGUUGUUCGGAAUUACUGGGCGUAAAGCGCGUGCAGGCGGCUAACUAAGUCCGGUGUGAAAGCCCGGGGCUCACCCCCGGAAGUGCGCUGGAAACUGGUUGGCUAGAGUACGGGAGAGGGAAGCGGAAUUCCUGGUGUAGCGGUGAAAUGCGUAGAUAUCAGGAGGAACACCGGCGGCGAAGGCGGCUUCCUGGACCGAUACUGACGCUGAGACGCGAAAGCGUGGGGAGCAAA
rnacentral:rRNA from 1 species